AUUCUGGUGACGUAACGCCUGGUUACAGCAUGCUGGAUAAUGCCGUGGUAAUCACGCUGAUCAAAGAAGCAGUUUAUGAAGCACCUCUGUGGAAAUGGUCCGAUGUAAAUGACCUUUGUUUGUAAAGCUAAAUUAAGCUCAAAUGGUUAAAGGCUUAUGCAUUUUUUCUGAUAUAUCGUGCGUCUGUCUGCUGCAAACAUUUCACAUUUCCGACUUCUUUCGAGUCAUCCAAUCGUGGUAACACACAUCCUUAAGUACAGGUUUAUGGUGAUAUCAGGGUGAAGUCAUGGAUAGUUUUGAUCACUCGUACCUUUAUGGGGAAUAAACUUCUUAAGGUAAAA